UACGUAGGGGGCUAGCGUUGUCCGGAAUCAUUGGGCGUAAAGAGCGUGUAGGCGGCCCGGUAAGUCCGCUGUGAAAGUCGGGGGCUCAACCCUCGAAUGCCGGUGGAUACUGUCGGGCUAGAGUGCGGAAGAGGCGAGUGGAAUUCCUGGUGUAGCGGUGAAAUGCGCAGAUAUCAGGAGGAACACCUAUGGCGAAGGCAGCUCUCUGGUACGAGACUGACGCUGAGACGCGAAAGCGUGGGGAGCGAACAGG
rnacentral:rRNA from 1 species